CGGCAGGUAGGACCGGGGAGCUAGCCCUACCCUGAACCUCAAAUGGGCUCCAUGGAGGGGUCAGUAACCGAAGGUGAGCGGGUUGGAUGGGCUGAAAGGCGCUACGCCCUCCGAUGAGGGUUUGCCCCUUGGGGCUGGCGGUUGUCCCCUAACGCCCUCGUAGGGGGGCGUUAGAGCAUUAGCCGGGCGAACCUGGCCAGGACCGGGAGAUGGAGCGUGUGGGGGUGAGCGUGGGGCUGGAGGGGGUAUUGCCUGAAAGCUAUGCUGGGGCGGAUAUUCAGAAAGGUAUGCCCUACCCUCCACCCGAAGGAGCAACCUAAGUCCGGACGCCCAGCGCUCAAGGGUCACAGGCCGGAGGAGAGCCAAGCGGCCCUGCGGCCUAAUCGGCCCGCGAGCCCGAGGGGCUGCCG
rnacentral:SRP_RNA from 1 species